GGUGCGUUGCAGAGAAUUCAGGUGCAAGCUACAGGAAUUUUCUCACUGGAAACCCCUUCCAAAGAGGCUGGCAAGCUUGCCAGGCACCAGAUGUUUGUGACUAGUUAUAAAGAGCUGCAGUCAAAACCCUUCAGACGCAAGCUUCUUUUGUGAGCACACUUGUGGUUUGCUGGCUGGCUCUUAAUUAAGCUGAGCCUGGAGGAGAGGAGGCCCAGGGAUCUGCAUCCAUUUCAGCCAUCAGACUGAGGCGGUGAAGGAGGCUCGUGCAUGCUCCAGGAUGUGAUCAGUCACCACCACCCCAGCCAUAGCAAAGGAACUGAAUCAUCAGGCUGUAUAUCCUGGCAGUCUGCAAACUAUCAAGUGCUCCAGUAUCAACAUAGAGAAGGAAAGGAAUCAAGGUGGUAGUGCAGGUGCAUUCCUCCCUCAAAUUUGGUUACAGCAUCAAGCAAAGGCACUGACCUGAGUAUGGGAAUUUAGAGCAAACUUAUGAAGAAGUUUGGAGCUAACUCAGAAGAACUGGAGCAAAAAAAGGUAACCCUGAAGUUGAAUGGGAAAGGGACAAGGAUGCUGGGCUUCAUUUCCUGACUCCAGACUCACCAAUGUCACACUGUAACCUCCCCAAGUAAAGGAGAAGGCAAUGGAGAAAAAUGAUUGUUGGCCACAGUUCAAAAAGAAAGAAAGCAAAAUAAUACUUGCUCACCAUAGGAAUUACUGGGAGAAUAAGAAAGGCUUAUUUCCCCUGAUAUUUGUAAAAAGAAGUGCUGGUAAUAAACCAGUUCCAUUAUAAAGGAGGAGGGUGAAAUGAAUGACCAAAUGAGAUAGUGAGUGUCUUUUAUUAAAAACAAAACCAAAAAAACCCUCAAACAACCUUUUUUCUGCAAAGAAAGAAUAAAGAAAUGAGACAGAGUGAUUAGGAGAGGAUUCAGGCAGGGUAGAAACUAUUAGUGAUAAACAGCUAUGAAGAAAAUAAUUGGAAAAUGUAAGUGCAUACAAAUGUGGAUGAUGGCCCACGUACUGGGGCGACAGCAGAAUUAACCAGUGAAUGUAAUGAACCAUGAAAGGAGAAGCUUGGAGACUACGGAGAACUGAGGAAAUUUUUCUAAGCAGGAGGGGUAGAAAACAAAUAAAGGCAGCCUGGCUUCU